GAUGAACGCUGGCGGCGUGCUUAACACAUGCAAGUCGAACGGAAAGGCCCAAGCUUGCUUGGGUACUCGAGUGGCGAACGGGUGAGUAACACGUGGGUGAUCUGCCCUGCACUUCGGGAUAAGCCUGGGAAACUGGGUCUAAUACCGGAUAGGACCACAUUUUGGAUGGUGUGGUGGAAAGUUUUUCGGUGUGGGAUGGGCUCGCGGCCUAUCAGCUUGUUGGUGGGGUAAUGGCCUACCAAGGCGUCGACGGGUAGCCGGCCUGAGAGGGUGUACGGCCACAUUGGGACUGAGAUACGGCCCAGACUCCUACGGGAGGCAGCAGUGGGGAAUAUUGCACAAUGGGCGCAAGCCUGAUGCAGCGACGCCGCGUGGGGGAUGACGGCCUUCGGGUUGUAAACUCCUUUCGCUAGGGACGAAGCGUUAUGUGACGGUACCUGGAGAAGAAGCACCGGCUAACUACGUG
rnacentral:rRNA from 1 species